rnacentral:rRNA from 1 species
UUCGCCUGUUUUUCAAAAACAUCUUUUCUUGUUAGUUUUUGAAGUAUGGCCUGCCCACUGACUUAUUGUUGAAGGGCCGCGGUAUUUUGACCGUGCAAAGGUAGCAUAAUCAUUAGUUCUUUAAUUGUGAUCUGGUAUGAAUGGCUUGACGAGACAUAAGCUGUCUUAUGAGUAUUGUUUAUUGAAUUUGGUUUUUGAGUUAAAAUUCUUAAAUGUUUUUAUGGGACGAGAAGACCCUAUAGAGUUUGACAUUUCUCUUAUUUAUUAAGGUUUGCUUUAUUAUUGAAUGAGAUAAGUUGUUUUGUUGGGGUGAUGAGAGGAAUAUUAUUUAACUCCUCUUUAUUUUAUGUAUAUUUAUUUAUAUUUUUCUUGAUCCAUUUAUUUUGAUUAUAAGAUUAAAUUACCUUAGGGAUAACAGCGUUAUCCUCCUUGAGAGUUCUUAUUGGCGGGAGGGUUUGCGACCUCGAUGUUGGAUUAAGGUGAAUUUUCGGUGCAGGAGCUGAAAGUGAUUAGGUCUGUUCGACCUUUAAAAUCUUACGUGAUCUG